UACGUAGGGGGGCUAGCGUUGUCCGGAAUCAUUGGGCGUAAAGAGCGUGUAGGCGGUCCGGUAAGUCCGCUGUGAAAGUCGGGGGCUCAACCCUCGAAUGCCGGUGGAAACUGGAGGGCUAGAGUGCGGGAGGGGAGAGUGGAAUUCCCGGUGUAGCGGUGAAAUGCGCAGAUAUCGGGAAGAACACCCGUGGCGAAGGCGGCUCUCUGGAACGCAACUGACGCUGAGACGCGAAAGCGUGGGGAGCAAACAGG
rnacentral:rRNA from 1 species